rnacentral:rRNA from 1 species
UACGAAGGGUGCAAGCGUUACUCGGAAUUACUGGGCGUAAAGCGCGCGCAGGUGGUUUCUUAAGUCUGAUGUGAAAGCCCACGGCUCAACCGUGGAGGGUCAUUGGAAACUGGGAGACUUGAGUGCAGAAGAGGAAAGUGGAAUUCCAUGUGUAGCGGUGAAAUGCGUAGAGAUAUGGAGGAACACCAGUGGCGAAGGCGACUUUCUGGUCUGCAACUGACACUGAGGCGCGAAAGCGUGGGGAGCAAACAGG